rnacentral:rRNA from 1 species
AUUGAACGCUGGCGGAAUGCUUUACACAUGCAAGUCGAGCGGCAGCGCGGGGGCAACCCUGGCGGCGAGCGGCGAACGGGUGAGUAAUAUAUCGGAACGUACCCCGUCGUGGGGGAUAACACAGCGAAAGCUGUGCUAAUACCGCAUACGACCUGAGGGUGAAAGCGGGGGAUCGCAAGACCUCGCGCGAUGGGAGCGGCCGAUAUCGGAUUAGCUUGUUGGUGAGGUAAAGGCUCACCAAGGCGACGAUCCGUAGCUGGUCUGAGAGGACGACCAGCCACACUGGAACUGAGACACGGUCCAGACUCCUACGGGAGGCAGCAGUGGGGAAUUUUGGACAAUGGGGGCAACCCUGAUCCAGCCAUUCCGCGUGAGUGAAGAAGGCCUCGGUUGUAAG